UCGCGGACUUUUAUAAUUCUGAACCAUCUCGGCGCCCCUAGCGGGCGUUUCGAAAAUGAAUCAAAACUUUCAACAACGGAUCUCUUGGUUCUGGCAUCGAUGAAGAACGCAGCGAAAUGCGAUAAGUAAUGUGAAUUGCAGAAUUCAGUGAAUCAUC
rnacentral:rRNA from 1 species